rnacentral:rRNA from 1 species
UACGUAGGGUCCGAGCGUUGUCCGGAAUUAUUGGGCGUAAAGAGCUCGUAGGCGGUUUGUCGCGUCUGCUGUGAAAUCCCGAGGCUCAACCUCGGGCCUGCAGUGGAUACGGGCAGGCUAGAGUCAGGUAGGGGAGAACGGAAUUCCUGGUGUAGCGGUGAAAUGCGCAGAUAUCAGGAGGAACACCGGUGGCGAAGGCGGUUCUCUGGGCCUGUACUGACGCUGAGGAACGAAAGCGUGGGGAGCGAACAGG